GAAAAAGGGAAACAAAAAAGAAAGGGGACGGGGAUCACUUCUGUUGUAGAUUUGCUCUGAAACUCUUUUUUUUUUUUUCUUCACGCAUCAUUUAUUCUCUC
rnacentral:ribozyme from 1 species